rnacentral:rRNA from 1 species
GAUGAACGCUGGCGGCGUGCCUAAUACAUGCAAGUCGAGCGAACAGACGAGGAGCUUGCUCCUCUGACGUUAGCGGCGGACGGGUGAGUAACACGUGGAUAACCUACCUAUAAGACUGGGAUAACUUCGGGAAACCGGAGCUAAUACCGGAUAAUAUAUUGAACCGCAUGGUUCAAUAGUGAAAGACGGUUUUGCUGUCACUUAUAGAUGGAUCCGCGCCGCAUUAGCUAGUUGGUAAGGUAACGGCUUACCAAGGCGACGAUGCGUAGCCGACCUGAGAGGGUGAUCGGCCACACUGGAACUGAGACACGGUCCAGACUCCUACGGGAGGCAGCAGUAGGGAAUCUUCCUCAAUGGGCGAAAGCCUGACGGAGCAACGCCGCGUGAGUGAUGAAGGUCUUCGGAUCGUAAAACUCUGUUAUUAGGGAAGAACAAAUGUGUAAGUAACUAUGCACGUCUUGACGGUACCUAAUCAGAAAGCCACGGCUAACUACGUG